GGCUCCUCAGAGACCGCUUCGAACGACCUAGCAAAUGAUGCCAUUGCACUUGGCCAGAUCCUACGCGAAGUGGCAGUUGAUAUGGCGCAAAGUAGAACAUUUAACGAAAAGGAAGAAGAAUACUCUUUCCGUAGCUUCUGGGAGAAAUUCAAGGCAUCAAUGAAAAAGGCAGGAAAGAAAGUUAAGGCGGCUUUCAAGAC
rnacentral:lncRNA from 1 species